GACGAACGCUGGCGGCGUGCUUAACACAUGCAAGUCGAACGGAAAGGCCCUGCUUUUGUGGGGUGCUCGAGUGGCGAACGGGUGAGUAACACGUGAGUAACCUGCCCUUGACUUUGGGAUAACUUCAGGAAACUGGGGCUAAUACCGGAUAGGAGCUCCUGCUGCAUGGUGGGGGUUGGAAAGUUUCGGCGGUUGGGGAUGGACUCGCGGCUUAUCAGCUUGUUGGUGGGGUAGUGGCUUACCAAGGCUUUGACGGGUAGCCGGCCUGAGAGGGUGACCGGCCACAUUGGGACUGAGAUACGGCCCAGACUCCUACGGGAGGCAGCAGUGGGGAAUAUUGCACAAUGGGCGGAAGUCUGAUGCAGCAACGCCGCGUGCGGGAUGACAGCCUUCGGGUUGUAAACCGCUUUCGCCUGUGACGAAGCGUGAGUGACGGUAAUGGGUAAAGAAGCACCGGCUAACUACGUG
rnacentral:rRNA from 1 species